CCCGAGUUGUAAUUUGUAGAGGAUGCUUUUGAUGCGGUGCCUUCCGAGUUCCCUGGAACGGGACGCCAUAGAGGGUGAGAGCCCCGUCUGGUUGGAUGCCAAAUCUCUGUAAAGCUCCUUCGACGAGUCGAGUAGUUUGGGAAUGCUGCUCUAAAUGGGAGGUAUAUGUCUUCUAAAGCUAAAUACCGGCCAGAGACCGAUAGCGCACAAGUAGAGUGAUCGAAAGAUGAAAAGCACUUUGAAAAGAGAGUUAAAAAGUACGUGAAAUUGUUGAAAGGGAAGCGUUUAUGACCAGACUUGGGCUUGGUUAAUCAUCUGGGGUUCUCCCCAGUGCACUUUUCCAGUCCAGGCCAGCAUCAGUUUUCGCCGGGGGAUAAAGGCUUCGGGAAUGUGGCUCUCUCCGGGGAGUGUUAUAGCCCGUUGCGUAAUACCCUGGCGGG
rnacentral:rRNA from 1 species